rnacentral:rRNA from 1 species
UACGUAGGGGGCUAGCGUUGUCCGGAAUCAUUGGGCGUAAAGAGCGUGUAGGCGGUCCGGUAAGUCCGCUGUGAAAGUCGGGGGCUCAACCCUCGAAUGCCGGUGGAUACUGUCGGGCUAGAGUGCGGAAGAGGCGAGUGGAAUUCCUGGUGUAGCGGUGAAAUGCGCAGAUAUCAGGAGGAACACCUAUUGCGAAGGCAGCUCGCUGGACGUUACUGACGCUGAGACGCGAAGCGUGGGGAGCAAACAGGAU